ACCUGCCCAGUUGGGUUCCCUGGAUUUAUAACAACAAGUGCUCUAACAGUGAUACCCUUAGACUGAGCCUCCUCCAAUUGUUUCUUAAGCUCAUCAACCUCCAGUCCCCAACCUGUCUCUUCAUCAAGGAAAUAAGGAACAAGAGAACCACCAUGGAGAGCAAUUGACGCGGAGUAGAGCGGGUAUUGCGGAAUAGGGCAGAGAAUGCCAUCAUUCUCAGAUCUUAUCAAUAAUUGCAUCAUCAUGUGCACUGCUGGGCUUGCUCCAUCUGUUAGGAAUAUGUUAUCUCCACUAGCAUGAAAACCAUCACGGGCAGCAAUUCCAGCAGCAAUUUCAUCACGCAAACCCUUUAUACCCUGACUAUGGCUAUAGGCUCCUGUUGCUCUUCCUGGGAUCUUGUCUAGAAUUUGCCAUGCUCUUUCUAUAGCAUCUGAACUGUAUGCAAACAUAAAUCAUCAUUCAGCCAAAUUAGAAACCAAGGAAUAUAAACUCACCUCUCUGAAAAAUGUAACUGGCUGCUGGCCAAGAGAUUGGGGAUUUCCAAUGUUGCAAUAAAGUAUCUCGUCAAAAGGAAGUGAGUCUGGGUUUUUCUGUAAUUCUUGUUAUUCCACGCACCUGAGCAUGUGUAACAAUCUCUCCACGGACAGCAUAUUCACACUUCAACACCU
rnacentral:sRNA from 1 species